rnacentral:rRNA from 1 species
GAUGAACGCUGGCGGCGUGCCUAAUACAUGCAAGUCGAGCGAACAGACGAGGAGCUUGCUCCUCUGACGUUAGCGGCGGACGGGUGAGUAACACGUGGAUAACCUACCUAUAAGACUGGGAUAACUUCGGGAAACCGGAGCUAAUACCGGAUAAUAUAUUGAACCGCAUGGUUCAAUAGUGAAAGACGGUUUUGCUGUCACUUAUAGAUGGAUCCGCGCUGCAUUAGCUAGUUGGUAAGGUAACGGCUUACCAAGGCAACGAUGCGUAGCCGACCUGAGAGGGUGAUCGGCCACACUGGAGCUGGAACACGGUCCAGACUCCUACGGGAGGCAGCAGUAGGGAAUCUUCCGCAAUGGGCGAGAGCUUGACAGAGCAACGCCGCGUGAGUGAUGAAGGUCUUCGGAUCGUAAAACUCUGUUAUUAGGGAAGAACAAAUGUGUAAGUAACUAUGCACGUCUUGACGGUACCUAAUCAGAAAGCCACGGCUAACUACGUG